rnacentral:rRNA from 1 species
AUAUUAUUAAGCGGAGGAAAAGAAACUAACAAGGAUUCCCCUAGUAAUGGCGAAUGAAGAGGGAACAGCUCAAGAUUGAAUCGGUUGCCUAAACGGGUAACUGAGUUGUAAUCUAGAGAACGUGUGAUCAACACGUGUACCCGGGCAUAACUCUUUGGAAAAAGGGAUCAUGGAGGGUGAGAAUCCCGUCUAUGACUCGGUGUUCGCUGUGUUUGAUCAUACGUUCGACGAGUACUGUAGGGUGGUAUCCUGCGGGAAUCAGGUCGUAACCUUGAUCUAAAGCUAAAUACCAGCCAGAGACCGAUAGCGCACAAGUA